rnacentral:rRNA from 1 species
GAUGAACGCUGGCGGCGUGCCUAAUACAUGCAAGUCGAGCGAACAGACGAGGAGCUUGCUCCUUCGACGUUAGCGGCGGACGGGUGAGUAACACGUAGGUAACCUACCUAUAAGACUGGGAUAACUUCGGGAAACCGGAGCUAAUACCGGAUAAUAUUUCGAACCGCAUGGUUCGAUAGUGAAAGAUGGCUUUGCUAUCACUUAUAGAUGGACCUGCGCCGUAUUAGCUAGUUGGUAAGGUAACGGCUUACCAAGGCAACGAUACGUAGCCGACCUGAGAGGGUGAUAGGCCACACUGGAACUGAGACACGGUCCAGACUCCUACGGGAGGCAGCAGUAGGGAAUCUUCCGCAAAGGGCGAAAGCCUGACGGAGCAACGCCGCGUGAGUGAUGAAGGUCUUCGGAUCGUAAAACUCUGUUAUUAGGGAAGAACAAACGUGUAAGUAACUGUGCACGUCUUGACGGUACCUAAUCAGAAAGCCACGGCUAACUACGUG